rnacentral:rRNA from 1 species
CCUACGGGAGGCAGCAGUAGGGAAUAUUGCACAAUGGGCGAAAGCCUGAUGCAGCAACGCCGCGUGUGUGAUGAAGGCCUUCGGGUCGUAAAGCACUUUUCUGGGAGAUGAGAAAGGACAGUAUCCCAGGAAUAAGUCUCGGCUAACUACGUGCCAGCAGCCGCGGUAAUA